GUGGGGAAUAUUGGACAAUGGGCGAAAGCCUGAUCCAGCCAUGCCGCGUGUGUGAAGAAGGUCUUCGGAUUGUAAAGCACUUUAAGUUGGGAGGAAGGGCAGUAAGUUAAUACCUUGCUGUUUUGACGUUACCGACAGAAUAAGCACCGGCUAACUUCGUGCCAGCAGCCGCGGUAAUACGAAGGGUGCAAGCGUUAAUCGGAAUUACUGGGCGUAAAGCGCGCGUAGGUGGUUUUGUAAGUUGGAGGUGAAAUCCCCGGGCUCAACCUGGGAACUGCAUCCAAAACUGGCGAGCUAGAGUACGGUAGAGGGUGGUGGAAUUUCCUGUGUAGCGGUGAAAUGCGUAGAUAUAGGAAGGAACACCAGUGGCGAAGGCGACCACCUGGACUGAUACUGACACUGAGGUGCGAAAGCGUGGGGAGCAAACAGGAUUAGAUACCACGGUAGUCC
rnacentral:rRNA from 1 species